AACCGGCGAACGGGUGCGUAACACGUGAGCAACCUGCCUAGGUGUGGGGGAUAGCCGGCCCAACGGCCGGGUAAUACCGCAUACGUUCUUUUCGAGGCAUUUCGAAAAGAGGAAACCUUCGGGGCACUAUGAGGGGCUCGCGGCCUAUCAGCUAGUUGGUGAGGUAACGGCUCACCAAGGCGACGACGGGUAGCUGGUCUGGGAGGAUGGCCAGCCACAUUGGGACUGAGAAACGGCCCAG
rnacentral:rRNA from 1 species